rnacentral:rRNA from 1 species
UACGGAGGGUGCAAGCGUUAUCCGGAUUCACUGGGUUUAAAGGGUGCGUAGGUGGGUUGAUAAGUCAGUGGUGAAAUCCCCGAGCUUAACUUGGGAACUGCCAUUGAUACUAUUGAUCUUGAAUACCGUGGAGGUCAGCGGAAUAUGUCAUGUAGCGGUGAAAUGCUUAGAUAUGACAUAGAACACCAAUUGCGAAGGCAGCUGGCCACGCGAAUAUUGACACUGAUGCACGAAAGCGUGGGGAUCAAACAGG